UCUCUGACAUGCCAAACCGGUGAGUUGGCCUCAUUUUUUGAAACUACUAUACCUCAAAGAGUGGGUAUAGCCUACCACAUGGGAAGACUCAGUAUCCACCGACUGUCGAGUCUCUGCUGAGCUGGGGAAGAAGUCAGACCAUGAUUUCAGUCUAACUUUCACCUUGACAAAGCUUUUCAAAAUCAUGAACAAGCCUAAUAGUUGCUUAUGAAAAUUAGGGCAUGAAAAUUAAUCAUAACUGAGAGUGAGCAUAGGAACUCCCAUUGUACGGAGUAGGGUGCAGAAAUGGAGUGAAUCAAUGAAGCAGGAAGAGAAGGGAGGCUUCUGGCUCCUCAUUCUCCUCCCUACCUACUCACCACUGUACCUCCGGUUGUGUCACACAAAGUUGGCAUGGGUAGUGCAAGUCUAGGACAAGGACUUCAGUUCCUCCUUCUGCUUCUCCUCUUCCUCCUCCCUGGAAAACUGCUCCCUGCAUUCUCUGGGCACCCUGAAGAGUGAAGACCCAGGUGCUGGGCACCAUGCUGAAGAUUUCCUUCGGCAAACCAGUCUAACCAAGGGACAUGUAGCAAAGAAGUCCUCUUGCACAGCUCGUAAUGAAACAAGCAACAUCAACAGAUGA
ensembl:lncRNA